rnacentral:rRNA from 1 species
UGCAGUCGAACGAUAACGAUCCUUCGGGGUCGUGAAAGUGGAGAACUGGUGAGUAACACGUAGGUGAUCUGCCCCGGGAUUGGGAAUAGCUCAUGGAAACAUGGGGUAAUACCGAAUACGUUCCGAUUUUCAUGGAAAUCGGAGGAAAGGCGCGUUUGCGUCGUCCUGGGAUGAGCCUGCGGCGUAUUAGCUUGUUGGUGAGGUAACUGCUCACCAAGGCGAUGAUACGUAGCCGGCCUGAGAGGGUGAUCGGCCACACUGGGACUGAGAUACGGCCCAGACUCCUACGGGAGGCAGCAGCUAAGAAUCUUCCGCAAUGGGCGAAAGCCUGACGGAGCGACGCCGCGUGGGUGAAGAAGGCCUGAUGGUUGUAAAACCCUUUUUGUGCUGAGGAAUAAAGUAGGGAGGAAAUGCCCUGCUGAUGACGUUAAGCGCAGAAUAAGCCCCGGCUAAUUACGUGCCAGCAGCCGCGGUAACACGUAUGGGGCGAGCGUUGUUCGGAUUUAUUGGGCGUAAAGGGCGCGUAGGUGGCUAUGCAAGCUUGGUGUGAAAGACUACAGCUCAACUGUGGAAUUGCGCUGAGAACUGCAUGACUAGAGUUCCGGAGGGGAAGCUGGAAUUCCGGGUGUAGGGGUGAAAUCUGUAGAUAUCCGGAAGAACACCAGAGGCGAAGGCGAGCUUCUGGCCGAGAACUGACACUGAGGCGCGAAAGCGUGGGGAGCGAACAGGAUUAGAUACCCUGGUAGUCCACGCCGUAAACGAUGUGCACUAGGUGUUGGGUCAUCACGACUCAGUACCAAAGCUAACGC